UCACAUGGGUGGCACCAGCAUCUACUCCUGAAAUUCUCAUUCGCUUAUAGAGACAAUACCAUUAGAUUAUUAUUUUUUUCCCCUUUUUGGAAUAGCAAUAGCUGCUCAAUGUAAUUAUACACCUAAGCAUUUCCAUUAAGUGAAUAGGACUUUAAAGAAGAUUAACUGGAGAUUCUCCUGCAUUCAAUAUAAAGCUUUCUGUAUCACCUUCAUCAUCACCAGAGAAGACAGUGGGUGAUUUUCAAGAGAUUUAUGCUGAGAUCUGCAAAGAAAAAAUGCUGGAAGUUCUUCUCCUUUUUUCCUGAUGUAAUGAAUUGUAUUUCAACAGGUCACAUCAUUCCCAGUGCUACAAUAUCUGAGGAUAAUGGGAAGUGUAGUUCAAGAAAUCUGGAAGGCACAUCUGUUGUCCAAAAUGGUUGGCUGGUUCUAUCCUCCCAGCCUUCAUUUUUUUAACAAAUGAAAGGAUGCAUGCUAACUUCUCAGGAGGCAAGGAGGACCAAGAGACAGAUGAAGUUUCACAUCUUUUUCUUCUUUAAUGUGCACUUCAGCAAAGUACAGACUGCAUCCCAUCAGAUGUAAUUUUUCAUAAGGACGCCCCUCCUCUUCCUUUCUAUGAAAAUGAAUUGGUACCAUUUACAUGGAGCUCUUAACCUUCAGGUUGUCCUUACCCCAGUAACACUACUCCUAUUGUACAGACAUGUUUACUUAGAUAAAUCUAAUUUGCCCUUUGUUAAUGUGUGCUGUCUUUACUUGCUAUAUUGCAUUAAGGUAGAAAUAGAGUUACUCCCCCCAAAAUUAUCUUGCUUAAAAUCAUUCAUAGGCUAUUGCCAAGGGAAUACAUUUACCAAUAUUCCUGCUAGUUUAUAAUCAUCCAGUCUACUAACUUGACCUUUACCUAAACAGGUCUAUAAUUGCAGUUAAGAUUAUGUAAUUUACAAUAACAACAAAAAAAUCUCUUUUGAAGAAGUGCUACUGGGCACGAAUGUCUCACGGCUAUUAAAUGCAUCAUUCAUCUUGAGAAAAAAAUUAUUCUUAUUCACGCCGACAUUUUAACAUAAACUGUAGUGCUCUCGGUUGGCACUUUUAAAAAACGUACCCAUUAAUCUCAAUAGGAAAGCAUAAGUCUCACCCACCUAUUCUCUGAAG